UAGGGAAUCUUCGGCAAUGGACGGAAGUCUGACCGAGCAACGCCGCGUGAGUGAAGAAGGUUUUCGGAUCGUAAAGCUCUGUUGUUAGAGAAGAACGUUUGUAGGAGUGGAAAAUCUACCAAGUGACGGUAACUAACCAGAAAGGGACGGCUAACUACGUGCCAGCAGCCGCGGUAAUACGUAGGUCCCGAGCGUUGUCCGGAUUUAUUGGGCGUAAAGCGAGCGCAGUCGGUUCUUUAAGUCUGAAGUUAAAGGCAGUGGCUUAACCAUUGUACGCUUUGGAAACGGGAGGACUAGAGUGCAGAGGGGGAGAGUGGAAUUCCGUGUGUAGCGGUGAAAUGCGUAGAUAUAUGGAGGAACACCGGUGGCGAAAGCGGCUCUCUGGUCUGUAACUGACGCUGAGGCUCGAAAGCGUGGGGAGCAAACAGG
rnacentral:rRNA from 1 species